UACGGAGGGUGCAAGCGUUAAUCGGAAUUACUGGGCGUAAAGCGCGCGUAGGCGGCUAAGUAAGCCGGUUGUGAAAGCCCCGGGCUCAACCUGGGAAUGGCAUCCGGAACUGUUUAGCUAGAGUGCAGGAGAGGAAGGUAGAAUUCCCGGUGUAGCGGUGAAAUGCGUAGAGAUCGGGAGGAAUACCAGUGGCGAAGGCGGCCUUCUGGACUGACACUGACGCUGAGGUGCGAAAGCGUGGGUAGCAAAC
rnacentral:rRNA from 1 species